GACAGAGGAUGCAAGCGUUAUCCGGAAUCACUGGGCGUAAAGCGUCUGUAGGUGGUCAAAUAAGUCAACUGUUAAAUCUUGAGGCUCAACCUCAAAAUCGCAGUCGAAACUAUUCGACUAGAGUAUAGUAGGGGUAAAGGGAAUUUCCAGUGGAGCGGUGAAAUGCGUAGAGAUUGGAAAGAACACCGAUGGCGAAGGCACUUUACUGGGCUAUUACUAACACUGAGAGACGAAAGCUAGGGUAGCAAAUGGG
rnacentral:rRNA from 1 species